GAGGGUAUAGCUCAGUGGUAGAGCACGUGCUUAGCAUGCACGAAGUCCUGGGUUCAGUUUCCAGUACUUCCA
rnacentral:tRNA from 1 species